rnacentral:rRNA from 1 species
GACGAACGCUGGCGGCGUGCCUAAUACAUGCAAGUAGAACGCUGAAGGAGGAGCUUGCUUCUCUGGAUGAGUUGCGAACGGGUGAGUAACGCGUAGGUAACCUGCCUGGUAGCGGGGGAUAACUAUUGGAAACGAUAGCUAAUACCGCAUAAUAGUAGAUGUUGCAUGACAUUUGCUUAAAAGGUGCAAUUGCAUCACUACCAGAUGGACCUGCGUUGUAUUAGCUAGUUGGUGGGGUAACGGCUCACCAAGGCGACGAUACAUAGCCGACCUGAGAGGGGGAUCGGCCACACUGGGACUGAGACACGGCCCAGACGCAUACGGGAGGGAGCAGGAGGGAAUCUUCAGCAAGGGACGGAAGUCUGACCGAGAAACGCCGCGGGAGGGAAGAAGGAUGUCGGAUCGUAAAGCUCGGUUGUAAGAGAAGAACGAGUGUGAGAGUGGAAAGUUCACACUGUGACGGUAUCUUACCAGAAAGGGACGGCUAACUACGUG